UGAUGGUGGAAAAUGUGUUUUUCUAUUGGG
rnacentral:piRNA from 1 species